rnacentral:rRNA from 1 species
GGAGUCUGGGCCGUGUCUCAGUCCCAGUGUGGGGGGCCUUCCUCUCAGAACCCCUAACCAUCGUCGGCCAGGUGGGCCGUUACCCCGCCUGCUGCCUAAUGGUACGCAUCCCCAUCGCAGUCCUUCCCAUUUGGCAUACGCGCCAUGCGGUACGUAUGCGCCAUCGGGUGUUAAUCCGCGUUUCCACGGGCUAUCCCCGGGACUGCGGCAGGUUGGAUACGCGUUACGCACCCAUCCGCCGGUCGACGUCCAGCGGGUGGCAAGCCACCCACUACCGUUUCCCCUCGACUUGCAUGUGUUAAGCCUGUAGCUAGCGUUCAUC